AGCGAACGCUGGCGGCAGGCUUAACACAUGCAAGUCGAACGCCCCGCAAGGGGAGUGGCAGACGGGUGAGUAACACGUGGGAACGUACCCUUUGGUACGGAAUAACUUGGGGAAACUCAAGCUAAUACCGGAUAAGCCCUUAUGGGGAAAGGUUUACUGCCGAAGGAUCGGCCCGCGUCUGAUUAGCUAGUUGGUGAGGUAAUGGCUCACCAAGGCGACGAUCAGUAGCUGGUCUGAGAGGAUGAUCAGCCACACUGGGACUGAGACACGGCCCAGACUCAUACGGGAGGCAGCAGUGGGGAAUAUUGGACAAUGGGGGCAACCCUGAUCCAGCCAUGCCGCGUGAGUGAUGAAGGCCUUAGGGUUGUAAAGCUCUUUUACCCGGGACGAUAAUGACUGUACCGGGAGAAUAAGCCCCGGCUAACUUCGUGCCAGCCGCCGCGGUAA
rnacentral:rRNA from 1 species